CUCGUUCUAAAGAAAACUGGAAUCUAUUAAAUUCAUUCAUCAAAUUUCCGAAAGAGGAAACUUAUCUUGAAACAGAGUUCUAUUUUUGUUGAACUACGAUCGUAAGAAUAGAUUACGAGAAAUUGAUUUUAUCAAGUCGAUAUUUAUUUUCACCUUACAAUUGAUUUGACAGAGAAAUGUACGUUUGAAAGAAAGUUCUUUUUAAUUUAUAAAUCUGUGCUAGAUUCCAGAACCGUCAUGUUUGGAAUUUUUAAUAUUUCCGGAAUAUAAACACGUGUGCAUUUACUAGUAACAAAUUCGUAAUCGCUACGUUUAUCUCAAUAAAAAGAAAAAAAAAGAAUACGA
rnacentral:misc_RNA from 1 species